ACUCCUACGGGAGGCAGCAGUGGGGAAUAUUGGGCAAUGGGCGCAAGCCUGACCCAGCAACGCCGCGUGAGGGAAGAAGGCUUUCGGGUUGUAAACCUCUGUCCUUGGUGACGAAAGAAAUGACGGUAGCCAAGGAGGAAGCCCCGGCUAACUACGUGCCAGCAGCCGCGGUAAUACGUAGGGGGCGAGCGUUGUCCAGAAUUACUGGGCGUAAAGGGUGCGUAGGUGGCCUUUUAAGUUGGAUGUGAAAUCCCCGAGCUUAACUUGGGUGGUGCAUCUAAUACUGGAGGGCUAGAGUGCAGGAGAGGGAAGCGGAAUUCCUAGUGUAGCGGUGAAAUGCGUAGAUAUUAGGAGGAACACCAGUGGCGAAGGCGGCUUUCUGGACUGUAACUGACACUGAGGCACGAAAGCGUGGGGAGUAAACAGGAUUAGAUACCCUGGUAGUC
rnacentral:rRNA from 1 species